rfam:TPA: Bos taurus chromosome 11, whole genome shotgun sequence.
UCCCUGGUGGCUCAGAUGGUAAAGCGUCUGCCUGCAAUGCGGGAGACCCGGGUUCAAUCCCUGACUCAGGAA